rnacentral:lncRNA from 1 species
GAUGAGUCCUUGCAGGAGUGCCGUUUGUUACCCCCACCAAUGAUGCAGUAGGUGAGGUGCUUGUUAAACAUACGGGCCUUGUCAGUAUCCCAAUAAUUCUGCAUCCCAUUAGUCUUGCUUCUCACAGGAUCUCUUUGCUUACCUUACAUGUCACAUCCAGUGCUCUGACAGAAUUGACAAUGAGAAGAUUGCAACACUUUAAAUUCAGUCCAUAAGUAUUUGGAGGCUGGAAGCUGACAAUGUUACAGCUGCCUGAGAACUAGCACUGAAGAUAUAUCCUUGACAUUUUCGGGUGCUGAACAUUUAUCAGAGAUUUCCCUCCAGUAUCCUGAGCACCAGGAAAGCAGCAGGGACCAAACAGGAACUUUUUAAAGAGUGUAAUGGCUCCUCCCUUGCUCAGAGAAGUGCAGAGUGAAGAGGAGAUUCACACAGUCACCCACAGCUUCCCUGACAAAAAUCAGGCCAGCAGCUCCAAGCUCUGUCAAGUGUUCUGCUGGUGCCAUAGACGCCUUCGCAGCAGGCAAAGCUCUCCGGCUGGCAGCACUCUGCAAGAGACACACAGAGCUUCAAUGUGUCCAGGUGGAGAAGUGCAACUGAAAACCAAAGAAGUCCCAGAGAAGGCUUGACCACCAGGCAACCAGAGAGGGGACAGCAAGAGGGAGCAUAAGUAGAGAGAACCAAGACAGGUCCAUGGAGGCAGAAGAUCUGCACUAAUUCCUUUCUUUGGAGUUUUGAGAGUUUCCCAGGCUAGUUAUUUGCCUACUGUGGUAAUGUCCCAUGUUUGUUCUCAGUUCUGGGAGGAGUGAUGCCAUCCUUCAGAGUGAAGAUGCCAGUCAAUGCUGAGAGAUGAUAAUUACAGUUAUGAUUAGCUUUGAAUUUCUCAUUGAAUGCUCUAGCUAAUGAAAAUCUAGAGCAGAGCCUUUUCCCUCUAAGGUAGAAGAUCUUUUUCCCCCUGAAAUUUGUAGGCAUUUAAGUGCAUGGGAGAUACUGCUUACAAAAGAAUCACUGACACCCUUUUUACCUCCAUAGAUGCAGGCAUGUCCAUCCUUGCAUCCAUUCAUAGUCUCCAAAAAUAGUCAGAAAUGUAUUCAGUUUAAGAACACAGUUAAAAAAAAACAAACAAGCAAACAGGGAGACAGAUAAACUAAACACUGCUACUCUUGCAGAAUGAUAGAAUGAUUGCAUGGUGAAUUUCCAAAUUAAUUACCUGCUCUCUCUCUCCUGAUGUGCAUCAGCCAUGGUGCUAAGAAAAGCUUGUAUUCAUUCCAGCAGGCAUGAAGAUAAGAGGUUGGAAUUGCUAACAAAGCUUAUUUUGGCAUUAAUCUGAGUUCUAUUGUUCAUCCCAGAAUGAGGCUGCUCAGAUUUUACCAGACAAAAUGAAAGCAAGCACCAAGACCUGAAGCAGCAUGGAUCCAGACUGAAGUCCUGUUCCCCAUUUCUUGCUUCUGUUCUCAAUUUUUUUUCUGUGCAUAAAGUCAGGGUAGGAAGGACAGUGUCCAGCUACUUCCAUGCUGCUUCAUGCUGAGAAGACAUAUGGUGGGUUAAACUAGAGAAGAUUCUCUUGGCAGUGGUAAUAGGCCUAAGGCACCUGUUUCUCAAAGAAUGUGAAUCACCAGGUUUUAGAAAUCAUCUGGUCCAAAUCUGUACUACUUGUAGCAAUAAGUACUACAAGUAUUACUUGAGUUUACACACAAGACCCUAUGAGAUUAAACAGGAAGAAAUAGGAUGGGAGAAUUUUCUACUUAAGGUUUGUAUCAUUAUUUGAAGAUUUUACUCAACCUGCAUACCCAAGCCCUCCUCUUUGAAGAACAAAAGGUCUACAUUAUUUUUACCAGACACAGAAACUUGCAGAAGUCAAUGCUCAUCCAUGCAACUGAGGAGGACAACUCAGGUCAAUCAAUCCAUUAUGAUGGGAUUCAAGAAAGCACACAACCCCUAUUUCAUCCGAGGCUGCAACAGUUCCUGACAUCUUAGAAACAAACUUUAGACAUUAUAUAAAAGGCAAAAAGUCACAGACUGAUGUUCAGGCUUCUCCAGCAUUUUUCCUUUGAAUUGUCAGUAUUAAGUUUCUUUCAUACAUGUUUGUCUCUGAUCUGAGGAAGUUUUAUCAAAGGUUGUGAAAGGUGGAUGUUGUCCACAAACUUUGUGUUGGUAGCUGGAUGUUCCUCAUGUCUGUUAGCAACAGGAAUUGUAGAAAUGUUAUUUGCAAUAUAGAAAACAAGGGAACUUACUGACUGAAAUAGACUGAGAUAUCCCUAAAUACACUUGGUAUAAAGGGUAUUUUUGAUUUUGACAUCUAUAACUGAAGAAUACUUGCUGUUAUAAAUGGCAAUGCCUCAAAACACAACUUAUGAACUAAUAAAAUUCCAAAUUUCCCAAGCCCUUGGAUGUUC